UCCGAGUUGACCCCGGCAGUCUCCUAUGAGUCCCCACCAUAACGUGCUGGCAACAUAGGACGAGGGUUGCGCUCGUUGCGGGACUUAACCCAACAUCUCACGACACGAGCUGACGACAACCAUGCACCACCUGUGCACGGCCCUUACGGACCCCGCAUCUCUGCGAGAUUUCCGUGCAUGUCAAGCCUAGGUAAGGUUCUUCGCGUUGCAUCGAAUUAAGCAACAUGCUCCGCCGCUUGUGCGGGCCCCCGUCAAUUCCUUUGAGUUUUAGCGUUGCCGCCGUACUCCCCAGGCGGGGCACUUAAUGCGUUAGCGACGGCGCGGAUCUCGUUGGUUGAGACCCACACCUAGUGCCCAACGUUUACGGCGUGGACUAC
rnacentral:misc_RNA from 1 species